rnacentral:rRNA from 1 species
AUUGAACGCUGGCGGCAGGCCUAACACAUGCAAGUCGAACGAGUGGCGGACGGGUGAGUAAUGUCUGGGACACUGCCUUAUGGUGGGGGAUAACUACUGGAAACGGUAGCUAAUACCGCAUACCAUCGGAUGUGCCCAGAUGGGAUUAGCUAGUAGGUAGGGUAAAGGCUCACCUAGGCGACGAUCCCUAGCUGGUCUGAGAGGAUGACCAGCCACACUGGAACUGAGACAUGGUCCAGACUCCUACGUGAGGCAGAAGUGGGGAAUAUUGCACAAUGGGCGCAAGCCUGAUGCAGCUAUGCCGCGUGUAUGAAGAAGGCCUUCGGGUUGUAAAGCACUUUCAGCGGGGAGUCGUUAACCGCAGAAGAAGCCCCGGCUAACUCCGUGCUAGCCGCCGCGGUAAUAC